GAACUGGCAGACGAGAACAGACCGGAGCAGACAGGAACAGGACCAGGAGACGAGCAGGAACAGGACAGGCAUGAUGUACAGAAGACUGAAGACGAACCGGUCAUCACGGAGAGACUCAGAAAGUAUGUAGAAACUACCAGCCCCUACAUACAUCUCACUGUGCUAGCAGCAUAGUUUUGGUCCUCCUGCAGUGUAAUUUCCAAAUAUGGCAAAGACAGAUGAAGCCAAAAUCCAGAGAAAAACUCUAAAAGACCUUCAGAAAGUCUGGAGAACUGCCGAUCAAAACUACUUCAGGCUGGUUCUUUGGAGGCAAGUAUGACGAAAUGAGGGGGAUGACCAAAUCUUCGGCU